UGAUGCUCUGCACUUCGCUCCUCGCAGCUCAUCGAUGGCGUAGGAUUUGAUUAAAUUUGUUGUUCCAGCUUUUGUCUGUGAUGGAGUAGAUGCCCCUGUAUUCGCAAAUUCAAUCAAGCUCCAACUUCAAUGGGGAAACAAGAGGCAUCUGUAAGUGUUGAAUUUAUCAUGAAGAUCCAAGUAAAACUGCUCUUUUAAGAAACAAGAUGUAUUUGAAGUGGAAUGUGGCAGUGUGCAGUGAACGGUUGAGGCAAUCCACCCCAGUGGCUUUACACUACCACUUUAGGUUCAUUUUAUUUGUAUUGGUUUUG
rnacentral:lncRNA from 1 species